rnacentral:rRNA from 1 species
AUUGAACGCUGGCGGCAGUCUUAACACAUGCAAGUCGAGCGGGGUGAUGGUGCUUGCACUAUCACUUAGCGGCGGACGGGUGAGUAAUGCUUAGGAAUCUGCCUAUUAGUGGGGGACAACAUCUCGAAAGGGAUGCUAAUACCGCAUACGUCCUACGGGAGAAAGCAGGGGAUCACUUGUGACCUUGCGCUAAUAGAUGAGCCUAAGUCGGAUUAGCUAGUUGGUGGGGUAAAGGCCUACCAAGGCGACGAUCUGUAGCGGGUCUGAGAGGAUGAGCCGCCACACUGGGACUGAGACACGGCCCAGACUCCGACGGGAGGCAGCAGUGGGGAAUAUUGGACAAUGGUGGGAACCCUGAUCCAGCCAUGCCGCGUGUGUGAAGAAGGCCUUAUGGUUGUAAAGCACUUUAAGCGAGGAGGAGGCUCUUUUGGUUAAUACCCAAGAUGAGUGGACGUUACUCGCAGAAUAAGCACCGGCUAACUCUGUGCCAGCCGCCGCAGUAA